ACAUGCUUACAACAUAGCGUUGAUGCACCGGAUCCCAUUAGAACUCUGCAGUUAAGUGAACUCAGGCUAGAGUAGUACCUCGGAUGGGUGACCACCCGGGAAGUCCUAGCGUUUUACAUGCC
rfam:Picea glauca, whole genome shotgun sequence.